GAUGAACGCUGGCGGCGUGCCUAAUACAUGCAAGUAGAACGCUGAAGCUUGGUGCUUGCACCGAGCGGAUGAGUUGCGAACGGGUGAGUAACGCGUAGGUAACCUGCCUCUUAGCGGGGGAUAACUAUUGGAAACGAUAGCUAAUACCGCAUAAAAGUCGAUAUCGCAUGAUAUUGAUUUGAAAGGUGCAAUUGCAUCACUAAGAGAUGGACCUGCGUUGUAUUAGCUAGUUGGUGAGGUAACGGCUCACCAAGGCGACGAUACAUAGCCGACCUGAGAGGGUGAUCGGCCACACUGGGACUGAGACACGGCCCAGACUCCUACGGGAGGCAGCAGUAGGGAAUCUUCGGCAAUGGGGGCAACCCUGACCGAGCAACGCCGCGUGAGUGAAGAAGGUUUUCGGAUCGUAAAGCUCUGUUGUAAGAGAAGAACGAGUGUGAGAGUGGAAAGUUCACACUGUGACGGUAACUUACCAGAAAGGGACGGCUAACUACGUGCCAGCAGCCGCGGUAAUACGUAGGUCCCGAGCGUUAUCCGGAUUUAUUGGGCGUAAAGCGAGCGCAGGCGGUUAGAUAGUCUGAAGUUAAAGGCUGUGGCUUAACCAUAGUACGCUUUGGAACUGUUUAACUUGAGUGCAGAAGGGGAGAGUGGAAUUCCAUGUGUAGCGGUGAAAUGCGUAGAUAUAUGGAGGAACACCGGUGGCGAAAGCGGCUCUCUGGUCUGUAACUGACGCUGAGGCUCGAAAGCGUGGGGAGCAAACAGG
rnacentral:rRNA from 1 species